rnacentral:misc_RNA from 1 species
GGGACUCAAACCCAAACCCAAAAUUAAAAACCCAAUUGUGUUUGUGUAAGCAGCAGCAGCAGCGGCGGCAGAGGCAUCGAUUGAGAUGCGUGUACUCCGUUGAAUACUCAGAAAAUGAAGUUGAUUCGUUGGUGGAAUUUAUUAAAAGUGUAUUUCCUGGUGGAAAUUGGUGGAAGCUUUCAUCAGAAGAAGAUGUAGAUGUUGGGGGAACAGCAAAGCCUGUAACUGUUGUACGUGCUCUUAAAAGAAUGUGGGAAUUGAUAGCUGAAGAUCGUUUCCUCAUUUUUGCUGCUUUUACUGCUCUCAUUGUUACAGCUUUAUCAGAAAUUUCUAUACCGCAUUUUCUCACCGCAUCCAUUUU